ensembl:lncRNA
CUCCUCUCUUCCCCGGGGCUCGGCGGCGGGAGCCCGGCGGGCCGGGCCGGGCUGUAGCAGUCUCGAGUAGCGGUACCUCGCCCCAGGCCGGCCGGUACGGGUGCUACUCCGAGUCGAAUGUGGCUGCAGUGUUAAAGCUGGCUCAACAUCCUUUGUUAUACCUCUACAGAGACAGUUAUAUAGACAGCAGGAGAAAGUAUGACACAGUUCUGCAAGCAAGAAAGAAAAGGCCGGAAGUCCCAGGUCACCUUUUACCCAUAAGAAUAACAGAAGUGGAAGAAAGGUUGAAUGUAGCAGAAAUGACACAAGAAUGGAUUUCAGCAGAGAGCACUGAAGAAGAAUUACCUCUGAACAUAAUAUGCUAGCUAAAAAAAGCACAACUGAUAGCUGCCAAGACCAUUGUGGACCUAAAAUGCUAGCAGUGGUCAAAGCAAAUUAAAAUUUAUUAAGGGACCCUCAUGUAUAAUUUUACCACAGCAGGAUUAUACUACCAGCUCUGCAAAGGGAGAUUUAGUCAAGUAAUUCUCAUUAAGGGGCAAAACCCCUCUGACUUCUGCAGGUACUUUGCCUGAUUAAGCACUGAAGAACAGGCCCUAAGGUUGGCACGGCUGAGCUCUAACCUGUCUGCCUUUAUGCAAGCCACAGCUUCAUAUAUCAGCUCCAGCUCAUGCAGAGGAGUCUUACCAGGCAUUCUAAUCCUAAGGGGAAACAUUUCAUUGCAAUGCACAGUAAUUUGCAUUCUUUCACAAAAUUCUGCUAUUACAUUAUCCAUUUUUCUCUUGAUUAAAAGAGAUCAAGAAGUGCACACUCUCACACUACACAUGCAGGCUUUCCAUACAGGAGGCCUGGAAUCUACAUUCAAAUUCAGACUGGAGGAGAUCUGGCAACUUCUAGCUCUUUAUGGACUUAUGCUGUUCUAAUAACAGUCACAAAUUACUGAUAAUUAUCAAGGAGGGAAGUUACUGUGGUGGGGUUUUGUUGUUGAGUUUCUAAGACAUUCAAGUGUAUCAAGACAUUUCAGAAGUAUCCAGUGCCAAGGAGUUCUUAAGCACCACAAGCCCUGUGAGCUUGUGCAGAUGCUUUUGAUUUUGCUCACUGCAGGUCAACCUAUGGUGUUAGUUACUGUCUGGAGGAGAUGGAACUGAAGCUACAUUGGCACAAGGGAAAUUGCAGAAGGUCCCUGAGAUGCUCCAGGACUGUUGAAUCUACAGAGCAGAGUCUGGGACCUACAUUGGAUGCAUUCAUGCUGUAACACCCAGGAGAUUGUCAGUUUCAUAGGCCAGGUCAGAACUUUUCCCAUCUCUCUGUGUGAAGAUGUCUACAUCUUUAAUGAAAUCUGAUCCUAUGAUGAAGAUAAACAAUAUCAGAAGAAUCAUGUCAUCUUUGAUAAUAAAUCUAGUUUAAUGGAGUCCUGAUUUUGCAUGCAAGUGGAUGCCAUAACAGAAUUAAUAAAAAACAGCAGUAAUUUUAAUGU